CUGCGGAGGGAUCAUUACCGAGUUUACAACUCCCAAACCCCUGUGAACAUACCUAUACGUUGCCUCGGCGGAUCAGCCCGCGCCCCGUAAAACGGGACGGCCCGCCCGAGGACCCCUAAACUCUGUUUUUAGUGGAACUUCUGAGUAAAACAAACAAAUAAAUCAAAACUUUCAACAACGGAUCUCUUGGUUCUGGCAUCGAUGAAGAACGCAGCAAAAUGCGAUAAGUAAUGUGAAUUGCAGAAUUCAGUGAAUCAUCGAAUCUUUGAACGCACAUUGCGCCCGCCAGUAUUCUGGCGGGCAUGCCUGUUCGAGCGUCAUUUCAACCCUCAAGCUCAGCUUGGUGUUGGGACUCGCGGUAACCCGCGUUCCCCAAAUCGAUUGGCGGUCACGUCGAGCUUCCAUAGCGUAGUAAUCAUACACCUCGUUACUGGUAAUCGUCGCGGCCACGCCGUAAAACCCCAACUUCUGAAUGUUGACCUCGGAUCAGGUAGGAAUACCCGCUGAACUUAAGCAUAUCAAUAAGCGGAGGAA
rnacentral:rRNA from 1 species